ACCUGGGGCAAUCUCAGAGCCCACUAUGAAUUCUACACUAAAAAUAACCAGGGCAGUAAACGCUUAUGCCCGAAGUUCCCUGACUCAGUGACCGAGCAACCAGGUCCUGCUGAGCACCACCCCAGACGGUGGUUCUAGGGCAACAGUGGCUGUGGCCUUGGCUUUCCAUGUCUGUUUUCCUUUCCAGCUGAACAGCUGGGGACACCAUGGAGAGGGGCAACCUUGUGGGGCAGGUGGAGAAUGAAGGGAACCUCCUCGCAGGAGCUUCGUGUUUGCAGUCCAAGGGCUGGCAUGAUCUUUGUGAAGAACACACACAAGGCCCAUCCGUGACACCCCGAGCACCAGGAGUGCGGACUGCGCAGGCCAGCUCUGGCUGCUUCCUUGCAGGAACACUGGCAGGGUUCCUGACGGGCAUGAGAUGCUCCGUGCAAGCCUUUGGAAGGUUGUAAAGAUGGCCAGAGAUAGUUUGCUCAAAAACCAUCCAGUCCUGCUAGAAAGCUAAGAUGCCCCAGCAAGAGCUCUAAGUGCCAUGAAGAAAAAGGUACUUGGGUUCAGAGGCAGCAGAGACCACUGUGGCGGGGCUGAUCUCAGGAAAGCAGCUCCAGAGGACACAGCAUCUGAGCUGGGCUGGGGGCUCCAGGUUUCUGUUACUCCUUGCACAGAAAGGUGGGUAGUGCUUGAUCUGAAUGUGGUCCGGGUAUGGCAGGACUGAAGAGGAGGCCAGGGCUGGGGAGUGGGACUGGGCUGCACUGAGGACUUGAGUCCUUAGACAAUGGGGAGCCAUGGAGACGGUCGCCGUGGUGCUUAGGACUUACGUGCACCAUGGAGAGUGAUGAGGAGGCCUGCACAGCGAUCCCGGAGUCCCUCUCUUAGACUGCUCUUGGAUACCUUCCCAGAGUAUCCGUAAGUCCUCAAGAAACUGAUGAGACCAAGACCCCGGGUUCCCGGGAAAGAGGUCAAGGCAUUUCCCUGUCUUCUGAAUGACUAUUUAUGGAUGAAAACUCCUUUCUCGAAAGAGACUCUAAGACCUGUGCAUGUCCUGUUGGUGGCCAGGGUUCCUCUCUGGGUCCACUACAGCCAUUGAGCUCCAAAGAUCUGCCCUGGGCCCGACCGAAGAGUUGUUCCCAAGGCAGCCCGAGAGAGUCAUGCUGCAAACACUAAGAGGCCAUUGGUAGAGAGGUGCUACAUCCUGUACCAGCCAUGGUGUUUUAGGAUGCACAGCAAGUCUUCUUUCUUUGAGUGAAGCACAGACAUUCUUCUACUGGUUUCUUUCAGGAACGGAGACUUGUGAUUUUCUUUAAUCAACCGCUAAUCUCUAGUCUAAGAAAUUCAAACUCACCUAUACCCUACAAGCCUCCACUACCAGAUGUCCCACUUUUGGGGACCAGACCAAUACGAAAGACUCCUAAUGCUGAUUGACAACUCUCCUGCCCUCAAAUGAUAUAAAAAGAACCACUGUAUCUCAGCUCCUUAAGAAAAAACACACUUGCAUUUCUCCAGGCCAGUCACUCAAAUUCGUGCUUAGUAAUAAACUGCAUUAAUUAUUACUUCUACGAAGUUGAUUAUUUCCGUUGACAAGACAGUAGUAGCAUGUGUUUUACACAAUAAAAACUCCAGGGAUCACUAAGAUGAGCUUUGAGAUUACAUUACGGCGUGAGGCAGAAAUCUGACUGAAGGGAUAGAAUGAAUGGUUCUUUCUGUACCAAG